rnacentral:rRNA from 1 species
AUUGAACGCUGGCGGCAUGCUUUACACAUGCAAGUCGAACGGUAACAGGGUGCUUGCACCGCUGACGAGUGGCGAACGGGUGAGUAAUGCGUCGGAACGUGCCGAGUAGUGGGGGAUAACGCAGCGAAAGUUGUGCUAAUACCGCAUACGUACUGAGGUAGAAAGUGGGGGACCUUCGGGCCUCACGCUAUUCGAGCGGCCGACGUCUGAUUAGCUAGUAGGUGAGGUAAAGGCUCACCUAGGCGACGAUCAGUAGCGGGUCUGAGAGGAUGAUCCGCCACACUGGGACUGAGACACGGCCCAGACUCCUACAGGGGGCAGCAGUGGGGAAUUUUGGACAAUGGGCGAAAGCCUGAUCCAGCCAUGCCGCGUGUCUGAAGAAGGCCUUCGGGUUGUAAAGGACUUUUGUCAGGGAGGAAAUCCCUAGCGUUAAUACCGCUGGGGGAUGACAGUACCUGAAGAAUAAGCACCGGCUAACUACGUGCCAGCCGCCGCCGUAACAC